AUCCCACUGCUUCAUUACCGAGGCGUGUGUUUUCUGCGAGUUCCCCUUACUCCGCAUCUCGAAGGAAGUUGUGCGGCUGGGUCCGAACUGAUUUUCCUUCUUGUGGGAUUUAAGAGGCGGCCCCAUUCCUAGCAAGAGCCCGUUCAGAUAGCGUGAGCGCCAGGGCACGGGAUGGAAGUUUUACACUAAAAAAUAAAUUCUCACCCAGAGUGGCCCACAUGUGUCAUAAAGAGCCUUCAGGUGUGAGGCAGUCUUGUGUGGACAGCGUGAGGAAGACUCCGUGGUGACCUGCGUGGACCUGCAAUAUAAUCCAAUACAAGCAGGUGAAUGCUGAGGGCCAAUGAGCAGGACCAGAUGACCCCAUAGGUAGGUCAAGAACUUGCCAAGGGCACAAGGAAAACAAAACAUCCACCCAAGAAGUACUUCUCUCUACACCCACAAAAGAAAAAGCCAUGGGAAGAUCCUACAGGACUAUUCCUGUCAUGAGGCCUAAAACUCAUUCUUGAGUCAAGAAGAUUGCAGGAGCCACCUCUCAGAAGCAAAGAUCACUAGCUCUGAAGGAAGCCAGCUGCCAUGUCAAGAGGACACUCAAGCAAUCCCAUGGAGAGACCCACGAGGUGAGGAACUGAGGCCUUCUGCCACAACAGUCAUCAAAGAAAUGAGAUUUUUGGCCAAUAACCAUGUGAGUGAGCCACCUUGAGAGCAGAUCCUCCAGCCUCAGCCAGACCUUCAGAUGACUGCAGCCCUGGCUGACAUCUUGACUGCAAUUUCAUGAGAAACCCUGAACCAAAACCACUCAUCUAAGUCAUUUCCAAAUUCCUGAGUUAAGUAACUGUGAGAUAACCAAUGUUUGUCACUUUAAGCUGCUAAAUUUUCGGGUAAUUGUUACACUGUGAUAGAUAAUUAAUACAGAUUUUGUUACCAGAGGUGGGGCGCUGCCAUAACAAAAACCCAGAAUGUGAAAGUGCCUUUAGAACUCGGCAGACACUGGAAAAACUUUGAGGGGGGUGUUAGUAUAAGUCCAAAUAGGCUUGAAGAGACUAGCUUCCUCAGUUUCCCCAUCUGUAAAAUGAAGGAGUUGGGCUAGAUGAAUACCUAAAUAUUUUAUAAUUCUCUUAAUCUUUAUCUAAUCAAGGUUCUAUAAAUAAUAUUACUCUAAACAAAGUAGUUAUAGGAGACAGCUAAUAACUGACCCAAGGCAUAAUUCCCCAAGGCAUAGCUCCACAACAGAGACAAGAGGCCCUGCACCUGACUUUUGUGCUGUCUGUAAACCUAGUUUCAGCCUGGUUUAAUCUCAGGAAACUGAAGCUGGCUCUACCUUUAACAGGUUGCUUCAACAGCUCACAACCACAUGCCCCAAAAGGAGUAGGGGUUUCUGAUUCUUUAACAAAGGCUGGUCCUUUGUUAAAGAUGAAGGUUCUUUAUAUUCGUUCUUCACCUCAAUGAUUUAACUAAAAG